CCUACGGGGGGCAGCAGUGAGGAAUAUUGGUCAAUGGGCGCGAGCCUGAACCAGCCAAGUCGCGUGAGGGAAGACGGUCCUAUGGAUUGUAAACCUCUUUUGUCGGGGAGCAAAAGACGCCACGCGUGGCGUUCCGAGAGUACCCGAAGAAAAAGCAUCGGCUGACUCCGUGCCAGCAGCCGCGGUAAUACGGAGGAUGCGAGCGUUGUCCGGAAUUAUUGGGCGUAAAGAGUUCGUAGGUGGCAUAUUAAGUCUGGUGUUAAAUGCAGAAGCUCAACUUCUGUUAGGCAGUGGAUACUGGUAAGCUUGAGUGCGGGAGAGGUAAAGGGAAUUCGUGGUGUAGCGGUGAAAUGCGUAGAUAUCAGGAAGAACAUCGGUGGCGUAAGCACUUUACUGGGCCGUAAUUGACGCUGAGGAACGAAAGCCGGGGUAGCAAAUGGGAUUAGAUACCCCAGUAGUC
rnacentral:rRNA from 1 species